UACGUAGGGUGCGAGCGUUAAUCGGAAUUACUGGGCGUAAAGCGUGCGCAGGCGGUGAUGUAAGACAGGUGUGAAAUCCCCGGGCUUAACCUGGGAACUGCAUUUGUGACUGCAUAGCUAGAGUACGGUAGAGGGGGAUGGAAUUCCGCGUGUAGCAGUGAAAUGCGUAGAUAUGCGGAGGAACACCGAUGGCGAAGGCAAUCCCCUGGACCUGUACUGACGCUCAUGCACGAAAGCGUGGGGAGCAAACAGG
rnacentral:rRNA from 1 species